UACGUAGGGUGCGAGCGUUGUCCGGAAUUACUGGGCGUAAAGAGCUCGUAGGUGGUUUGUCGCGUUGUCCGUGAAAACUCACAGCUUAACUGUGGGCGUGCGGGCGAUACGGGCAGACUAGAGUACUGCAGGGGAGACUGGAAUUCCUGGUGUAGCGGUGGAAUGCGCAGAUAUCAGGAGGAACACCGAUGGGCGAAGGCAGGUCUCUGGGCCGCAACUGACGCUGGAGGAGCGGAAAGCAUGGGGAGCGAACAGG
rnacentral:rRNA from 1 species